GUCCCGUCCUAAUAUUCUAUGUUCAGAGGACAAGUAUUAAUUAAGCCCCCCACCUUUCUCUUUUAUUUAUACCCAAAAUGAAAACCCAUCCUCUACAUCUUCUAAAAUCCCUAACAUCGACUCCUCCAAAGGCUGCCGACGGCUGAAGAUUUACAAACUGGAACACAUGAGUUGUUAAUCUGAGCAGACAGGUGUGGAUUUGGUGGCUGAGCUUGUGGUGUGACUUUGGGUCCAAAAGGAAGGAAUGUACUGCUUGGAAAUAAGUAUGGCUCUCCCAAGAUUGUGAAUGAUGAUGAAACUUUUCUUAAAGGGGUACAUUACAAGCACUAACAUUAUUGUUAUAUGUUUAAAUUUGAUGGGGACUCUGUUAUUUUGGUGUUUAAACAAAACAAAUGGCUUGGAAAUUCAUGCAACUUAGAAUAUAUAAAUGAAAAGCUAUUCCAAUGUUGUCAAAUUACAAAAAUAAAGAACUUGAAAGAAUGAUACUUAGAGUGUAACCAUUAAAGGAGCUCAUCUUAUGUUGUGUGUGGUCCAAAAUGACGAGGAAACUAGAAUAAGUAUCUAUGAUUUGUGCCUCGGAAUCGUUUGCCUGUCCCCUCUUUCAUACUUGUGUAAAUUGGUAGAUUCUAUUGUGAUUAUUUCUCAAAGUAGUUUAAUUGCCAUCGGUGUUAUUUAUUUAUUCCUUCUUUUUAGAUAAAGAGUUGCUUUUGAUUUCUGAGGAUAGAGAAAUAAAUAUUUAGACAUUGUCCAUAUUCAGGUUAUAAUUGUCUUCAAGUCCACUGGAAUAUAGACGGUGCACUACUUAAAAAAUCAAUUCAUUCUACAUAGUAAAAGUUACUAGUGUUGUAAGUUUGAUUUUCCAUAUGUCAAGUCUUCUCGACUCUUUCUGAGGCCUGCAAAUGAUGUUCUUCCAUCCUCCUACUUCUGCAUUUUCCAUCUAUUUUAGUUAAUUGUCCCCUUCUUUUACUUUUUUCUUCAAAAAUGUGAUGCACACCUUAAGCCUAAUUGGAUUACGAUAUAAACCAGGUAUGUAACGAAAAGUUAUAAACGGAGUAUAUCCAUGUAGUAAUUGUAUAUAGGUUUCUGAAUGCUGAUGGAAGACACCGAUUGUAAGGUAGCCACUGCUUCUGUUAAGAACUAGUACCUGUUGUAUAUCAAGGUAUUUAUAGGGCAUAAAAAUUUAAUGUUGCACUUGCUUUUGGUUGAUAAAAUAAUUACAAACCCGAAGGAGUUGGUAAAAAUUUGGACAAUGCAGUAAAGGAGAAAUACCUAGUUUUCAUAAUCGCAGAGGGCAUUGAGGGGGGUGCACUGGCUCCAGUAAUAAGGAACAAACUCAGGGGUGUCCUAAAUAUAGUUGCAAUUAAAGCUCCAUAUUUUGGAGAGCGCAACGCUAUCUUGACCGGAGGUAGUGACAUAUAAAUAGUAAAACUAGAAAUUAUUAGUUACAUAUAUCUGCCACCUCGUUUCUUUUGGUGUCUCCAAAACUGUCGGUCAUUGAAGCCAGUGUAAUGGUUUACUAAAAGAUGUUAUGGCUAAAAGCUUCAGUCUUCUUCAUGGGUGAACGAACAGAACUAUAUGCAGGGGGUUUAAGGGCUGCUCCAAAAGGAAGGAAAGUAUUUCUUGGAUAUAAGUAUGAUCCUCCCUUAGUUUAGUUACUGCUAAGUUGGUAACACCUGAAAUUAGUUUAGGUACUUCAUUUGGAUGUUCAAUUAAAUGCUAGUGGUCUCUUGUGGGAAUCAUAUGGUUUAUUGCAUUAUUGAUUUACAUCAAGAUGAGUUCAGAAUAUAGUUUAUAGCUAAGGAUAUCAUCAACAGGUUAGAGUAAAGGAUUUAACUUGUGGAAAUAGUGUAUCACUAUACACUUAACUUGUCUAUUUUAUUUGCACUUGUUAUACACUUUUGCUUUCAAUUUUGUCGGUAUCCUGGUGCUCUUCAAAAUAGCCACGAGUGAAACAUGUUAGUUAGAAACAAGAGAUAUUGUGCAUUAACUUUAUACUUAUGUAUGUCUUCUUUUAGUCUUAGCUCUAUAUGUUCUCUUAUUUUAGAUGAUCUUUUUGAAUUCUUGCGAUGUCCUUGAGUUCCUUCAGUUUUAUUGUUUUGUGUUAUGGGUUACAUAACAGGAGCACAUACAGUAGUACAUAAAAUGAAGCGAUGCUUCUCUAUAGUACUCGUUCUUUACUCUGCAAUUCUAUUGAUCAGUUAUAGUUGUCUAAACUUUUCUUGGUCGAUCAAAAAAGAUAAAUUGUACCAGUCUUUCAUCUCUCUAGACAUGUCAUGAUUGAUCAAAAUUUCUAGAUGUGCUGCAAUUACUAGUAUACGUUAAGGCAAAGAGUACAUUUGUAUGCGCACUGUGGGAUUUAACUCGGUAUGUUGUUGUUGUUGUUGAUUAAUAUGUACACUUAUGGAUAAGGCCAGUAUGAUAGGGAAUGCGAGGUCAUCCAAUAAACUUCUCUUCUGAAGUAAAUGUAGCAUUGCAUCAGAAAACAAAUUGAUUGCUUAAACUAAUGUUAUCAGCCAUUCAAAUGGAACGGCAUGUCACAGGAGGCUCGAAUGUUAACGUAGCUGUUGAAACUUUGGGAAAUCCAAAAACAUUCGUGCAAUGCAUACAGAGUGUUCGUAAUGGAGACAAUGCUGCAAUGAUUUGACUUAAACUAUAUGGUGCUAAGGUGGAUGUGCAUAUAAACCACUUAGUGCGACGAUAGUUUCUGGAGACUUAGAGCAUACAAAAUGGAGAUGCAAGAUCUGAAGAAUCCAUACAACUUGCCAGUAGAUUAUCAUUUUACUAGGACUGUUAGGAGAAAGCAUAUCUUAUUCUCUAAGGAUGAUACAUAUUUUUGGCUGAGGGGUUCUGUAAAAUGUAGUGACUACAGUGCUACUUUGUUUCCUAUUUUUGUAAUUAAUACAAAAUAUAAAUGAAAGCAUGAUAUUAUUUAUAAUUUU